AAUAUAUAAAUAAGAGUUACUGUAAUAGAUGUCUGGUAGAGGUAUUGUGGACAAUUAACCCAACCUUAUUGCCUUCUAUUUCCUCUUAUGAAUAGGAAAUAUACAGUCCAUGGAACAGAAAAAAGUAAGUGUUUCAAGAAAGAAAAGUUAUGUUUUAAAAUUUUUAUUCAUGAGGGUUGUUAACUGUCUUAAUCCCAUAAUCAGCAAUCAAGUGCAUUAAGGCUUCAGAGCUUAUUCUUCCUUGUUUAUUAUCCUGCCCAGGGCAGGAAGAAUCUUCCUCUUACUUGUCCAUGCUGCUCAUCUUUAACCUGAAUUCUCAGAACCCUGAAUGAAGAGGAGAAAGCAACUAAGAAGACCUAAUGUAGAGACACUGCUGGGAAAGGAAGCACUGGACAAAGUGGUCUAGUUUGGUCAGAAAUAUGGAAUAAUCAUCUUACUGUCUUGUUCUUUACAGUACUCAUAAAGAACACACUGUCACAACUACAAAUUAAAACCUUCACCCUUGAUGAAAAGGAAAAGUUGUGAAGCCCAACUCAACACUAAAUUAUUAUGAAAAUAAUACACUUCUAUUUACAUAACAAAAUUUACAAUAUAACACUCAUUACUGCCUUAAAAUAUUACUACAGAAAAAAAGUUUCUGUGUGAGGUGCUUUUAAGUAUUGAACACCUUUAUAAACAAAAUAAUCACACAAAUACUCACCUAGUGCAAUCUCUCAACUAACAACAAGUGAACUCCCCAACAAUAGGGAAUAAUACAAUCUUACAUAUUUUUGUAUAAUCAACAACAGCUCUUAGAAUACUUUAAAAGUAAUACAUGCACAAUAAACAUUUGCAGACCCAAUCUCAAAUACCAGAACUCUUGUACUAACAGUAAGUGACUUACACCUCAGGUAGUCCUUCUGGGCUAGCUCCCAAGGAAACACCAACAAAAUCUAAUAUAAUUCAUCCACUGAAAAUGUUCUGCUGAUUGCUGAUUAGUUACAUGUUAGUCUUUCACUGUACUUAUGGUAUGCUUUAUUUUUGCUGUCAAUAUUAAUUUAGUAACAGAGCCACAGAAAUUUAAGCUAAAGGAACUAGCAAGGUCAUUUAGUAUAAACCUUUCAUUUUAUAGACAAGGAAACUAAGGUCUACUUUUCCCACAAUUAAUGCUUUGGCACUUGUCACCUCAUUCCCCAGUCCUCUAAAUGAAUAAAAGAGAGGUUUUAGUGCACAUUUUUGCUUCGGUUAAUAUUACAAGUGAAUGGGCAUUCCUCAAAUGCCAGUCUCUAGCAUAAGACUUUGUAUAUAGUAGGUACUCAGGUGAAUAUUUACACAAUGCUCUUGCUUAAAGUGUUCAAAUCUGAUUUAAUAACGAUGCUCAUUUUAAUUAUUUUCAUGUAUACAAUUUUGCUGUGUAACAUUUUUCCAAUAUAAAAAGUGAUUUGACAUAAGUUUUUAUUCAAAGCAUAUCUUUCAUAACAAGACACUUCUGUUUUUCCUCCCACUGUGAAGCGCAUUUCUCCCAAUAAUAACAAAAACUAAUAGUGAAAUAGAAACUAGUUCUGCACAUUACAUCAUUCAACACACCUCCCAAAGGGGAGACAAACCGGUCAAUUAUUUAGACACAUAUAUAUCCAUUACCUAAGCUAAACAAGGCCUUAACAUCAAGGGGCUUGAAACUACUUAACCUGCCUUACUAAUCAACAGGGAAGACAAUUUCAUCAGUUUCAGAUCGUAGAGGAGAGCAAGGAAUUCCCUUCUUUCUGGAACCAGAAACCCUUAGUGCUGGGAUGCACCGUCAUAGCUGGCUUCAAUACAAACAAGCAUAAAGGACCUGAAGUCUUCGGUGGGCUUGGUAUGGAAGACAGGCUGAAUCCAGGGUAGGUAGGAUGUUAACCAACUAAUCAAAAUACUUGAAAGCCAGAUAAUAUACUAGACAGUCUCUAAUUUUAAAGCAAGAUGAAAAUCCUGGGCUUAUGGUUAAAGUAAACUCUAAAUUCAUGCCACAGUUCAAAGAACAAUAACUUUCUUAGACAGGGCUGACCCAGUACCAAAGACAAAACUGAACUAUUGAGUUCUAUGAUAGGGGACACAUCAGGACAAAUAUGGCACCAGUAAGUAAACUUUAUGAAUCACCAUACUUUGCUCAUUGCAAGGAAGAAAUAAGCGAGUAAAGCAAAACUGCUCAACUGGGAUUUAAAUUAGAAUGGAUAACAGCCAAAAUGGUCCACAUGUAUAAUUCUACUUUGAUUAUAAUUCUAAAUCUAAAAUGUCCAGAUUCAGAUGUCUGUAUGACUUAUAAGAUUAAAUAAAGACAAGGAACUCUGGCCCCAGAACUGCUUACAGGGUCUGAUAAUGAAUCAGAGGAAUCCUAUAGCUUUCCUGACACUCAAUGUAUCUCUUUCUAUGAAGUGCAUAGAUAAAGACACAUCAUAUAAGACUGUUUUAAGAAAUGGUUUAUAAAAUCUUACUUGCAAAUAGCCAUAAAAAUAAAAAUAAUUGAUAAUAACUAAUUCUUUUAAGAAUUCCCAAAUUUGUUAGCUGAAUAAAUACAGUAUCAGAACACUUUCUAUAAUGAAACAUCAGGGUUCUUUUGAAUUUCUAGGUAUUGGUAUAUUGUUUAUGUUACAGUCUAAUUCCAAAUAUGUUAAUUAUUCCCAAGCAUGUAGGUAUGAUUAUUCUUACAUAUAACUAAUCACAAACAAGCAGAAGAGAUUUCAUAUGCAAUUUUUCCACAGUAAUUUUGUUUUUGCUUAUUUUUGGCCACAUCUGUGGCAUAUGGAAGUUCCUAAGCCAGGGACUGAAUCUGAGUUACAGCUGUGACCUAUGCCCAGCCUUGGCAAUACGGGAUCCCUUAACCCACUGCAGCCGGGCCAGGGAUCCAACCCUUGCCUUCUCAGGAACCCCAACUGCUGCAGUUGGGUUCUUAACUCCCUGUGCCACUGCAGGAACUCCUUUCCACAGUAAUUUCAUUCUAUCAGGGUUUCAAGAAAAACUGCUAUAAAAAGGAAAAGAAAAACACUUAGCAAACUUUUAUUUUUGUCUAAACUAAAUACAAAUAUAUAUAUUUUUUUUUAAACUAUGAAGACACUGGGAGUUAAGAAGAAGGAAAACUUGGUUUGGUAUUCUUUUUUUAGGUAACCAAAAGGGGGGUGCAAUGUAAGUUAAAUAAAUUUGCAGUGAGGUUAGAUUGUGUCUCCUUUCAAGUGAGUAGUUUAAGUGAUUUGGACCUUUGUCUAUGAAGUGGGAAUAAGAAAUAUCAAGUAAGGUGCAAGGCUUAUUACACAGGACUUAAGCUGAAGAUAUUCAUAGAUUUAUUACACAGAUAUUACAAUACUUUCAAGUUAGUAACUUUAUGUUCUGGAACUAUCUUAAAAAUACAUUAUAUUUCCAAUUCUUAAGAAAUAUGGUUUCUGAUGAUAAUCAUUAAGUAUCAUGACUUCAACUCUGAAUAAUCAAUAUUUUUUC
rnacentral:lncRNA from 1 species